GAAGUGCCCCUCCCUUAUUUAGAGAAAAUCUCAGAGUGGAUUAUAUGCAUCAGUUAGGAGCUCAGGCUAAGGCAAACCCAGUUCACCAUUCAAGACAUUUUCUACUCUUGAAAACUUUAAAGGACAUUAUAAAAAGCAAAAACUUGAGAUCCAUCCCUGCCUCAAAUCAAGCCAGGAAAAAAGGAUUCUUCAGGAUACGGUGGUGGGAACAAGGAAGCAAGACUGACUAUGUUUGAAAGCGUUCAGCAAGCAGAGGGGAAAAGCAGAGGGGCACAGCCCUCAGGGAGUGGAUUAAAGUCACAUUCUUAGAAAAAAAGAGCUGGAAGUUAAGAUGAGGACUACAAAGACAGCAGGAAGAGGAAGUCUUCAAAACUGAGUCGAGACAAUUAUAUUCUUUGAACAAAGGAAACAUCGGCUCCUGUCACUGAAGAAAAAUCAAAGCAAAUCCACAAAUAAAUAGGAACAAGAGACACUUGUUCAGGGAUGUCAACAGGAAAAUGAAAAAUUGUAUAAUCAAGUGAAAGAUCUCCAAGAACAAAACAAAAAUGAGGAGUGAAUGUUCAAGGAAAACCAGAGCUUAUUCAGCAAAUUAGUUUCCUUAAAGAAUAUCAAGAAAGAGAAAACCGGUUUAUUGGAAGACCUGAAAAGACUGAAGCAAGACAAGCAAGCUCUUGACGCAGACUUGGGAAAAGUGAAGAGAGAGAGACCAAGCCAGAGAGCAGCAGCAAUAACUGCAAGAUUGAAGAAACUCAAAGAUUAUUUUGAAUUCAUGGCAUUGUGUGCGCAGCAGUUUGCAGUCCUCCCAGCCAGACCUGGAUCUUCCAGGGCCUGGUCACCCUUUUUAUCCCUGGGCCUGAAAUGUAACCUCUCAAGUGUUUGACAAAUGAACAGACAACACCGUGCUAUGUUUGUAGAAGACACGAGGGUGAAUAUGGCAUUCCUCACUGGGAAAAACAAAGGAGGGGUAAGCUAAAAAUGCAGAAAAGUUUAAUACUAAAAAAAUUAGAAAUAAACAAGAAGGUGCUAGUAAGGGUUUCAGGGAGAAGAAGCAUUUGAGCUGGGUCCUGGCAGGUGGAGGGCCUCGGGAGGGGAGGAGGGAGGCCGCGCAGCUGUGUCUCAUGGGCGUGUCACUGAGCGCACCUGUCCUGGGCCAGAGGAGGGCAGGGCACAGGGCCGGAAAGGUCGAUCGAAGGAGCCCUUGUUUGCCAAAGGAAGGGUCUUUUCUCUGUGAUUGUAUGAUCUUCAGUGUAAGACACAUACAAGUAAAAUCCACUAACCUGUUUGUAAGAAAUGUACUUCCCUCAUCUAUAAAGUAGAAUAAUAAU